rnacentral:rRNA from 1 species
CCUACGGGUGGCAGCAGUGAGGAAUAUUGGUCAAUGGCCGGAAGGCUGAACCAGCCACGCCGCGUGCAGGACGAAGGUUCCCAGCAUUGUAAACUUCUUUUGUCAAGGGACAAAAUCAGGCUCGAGAGCCUGACCGAGGGUACUUGAACAAAAAGCAUCGGCUAACUCCGUGCCAGCAGCCGCGGUAAUACGGAGGAUGCGAGCGUUAUCCGGAUUUAUUGGGUUUCAAGGGUGCGUAGGCGUACUGUUAAGUCAGCGGGAAAAGCCCGGGGCUCAACCCCGGCCAGCCGUUGAAACUGGCUGGCUUGAGAUGUCGAGAGGUAUGCGGAAUGCGCAGUGUAGCGGUGAAAGGCUUAGAUAUUGGGAAGAACUCCGAUUGCGAAGGCAGCAUACCGGAGGGGAUCUGACGCUGAGGCACGAAAGCGUGGGUAUCGAACAGGAUUAGAUACCCUUGUAGUC